rnacentral:lncRNA from 1 species
GAUUCUUUCUCUAAUGAUUUAAUUAAGACUCUGCAUAAUUAAGUGCUAGAAAUUUCUUACAUAAUUAUUUCAAAUGCUCUUUCGAGAAUCUAUAACGGGGACAGUAUUUGUUGGAUCUCUGAAUCUAUUACCAAGAAUUCAGAAACACCCUUUAAAAAAAAAACACAGAGAACCUAUGCGCUACCUUCUGAUGAUGGCCACCAUUGUAAUAUGUCUUAGUUUUGCUUCCCAAAUCAGAAGCUCAAUUUUCCUCUGGGAAUCGGUGCCUUUAAUCACCACACAGUGCAUGGCACAGGAGUUUCCCACUGCACUCUCCAUUCCCUUAGAUGAAGUCUAAUGUCAACAGAGUUAUUGAUAUAAUAAAUAUUCUCCAAUAUUCUUACUUGAAACUCUUAGGAAUGCAAUUUCAUGCAUGGCCAUCUUGAUGUGGGUAAAGAUGACAAUGGAAUAUUGUUGAAACGCAGAAGAAAAAAAAGAUC